GACGAACGCUGGCGGCGUGCCUAAUACAUGCAAGUAGAACGCUGAAGGAGGAGCUUGCUUCUCUGGAUGAGUUGCGAACGGGUGAGUAACGCGUAGGUAACCUGCCUGGUAGCGGGGGAUAACUAUUGGAAACGAUAGCUAAUACCGCAUAAUAGUAGAUGUUGCAUGACAUUUGCUUAAAAGGUGCAAUUGCAUCACUACCAGAUGGACCUGCGUUGUAUUAGCUAGUUGGUGGGGUAACGGCUCACCAAGGCGACGAUACAUAGCCGACCUGAGAGGGGGAUCGGCCACACUGGGACUGAGACACGGCCCAGACUCCUACGGGAGGCAGCAGUAGGGAAUCUUCGGCAAUGGACGGAAGGCUGACCGAGCAACGCCGCGUGAGUGAAGAAGGUUUUCGAAUCGUAAAGCUCUGUUGUAAGAGAAGAACGAGUGUGAGAGUGGAAAGUUCACACUGUGACGGUAUCUUACCAGAAAGGGACGGCUAACUACGUG
rnacentral:rRNA from 1 species